rfam:Bordetella avium 197N complete genome
GGAAGCGUGGCCGAGCGGUUGAAGGCACCGGUCUUGAAAACCGGCAAGGGUUUAUACCCUUCGUGGGUUCGAAUCCCACCGCUUCCG